rnacentral:tRNA from 1 species
UAGCCUAGUGGCUAAGGCUAUGGAUCGCCAAUCCGGAGACGGCGGGUUCAAUUCCCGU